rnacentral:tRNA from 1 species
GGGCGGAUAGCUCAGCGGGAGAGCAUCGGCCUUACAAGCCGGGGGUCACAGGUUCAAAUCCUGUUCCGCCCA